rnacentral:rRNA from 1 species
UACGUAGGGUGCAAGCGUUGUCCGGAAUUAUUGGGCGUAAAGAGCUCGUAGGCGGUCUGUCGCGUCGAAUGUGAAAACCCGGGGCUCAACUCCGGGCUUGCAUUCGAUACGGGCAGGCUAGAGUUCGGUAGGGGAGUCUGGAAUUCCUGGUGUAGCGGUGAAAUGCGCAGAUAUCAGGAGGAACACCGAUGGCGAAGGCGGGUCUCUGGGCAUUAACUGACGCUGAGGAGCGAAAGCGUGGGGAGCGAACAGG